UACGAAGGGGGCUAGCGUUGCUCGGAAUCACUGGGCGUAAAGCGCACGUAGGCGGGUCUUUAAGUCAGGGGUGAAAUCCCGGAGCUCAACUCCGGAACUGCCUUUGAUACUGAGGAUCUCGAGUCCGGGAGAGGUGAGUGGAACUGCGAGUGUAGAGGUGAAAUUCGUAGAUAUUCGCAAGAACACCAGUGGCGAAGGCGGCUCACUGGCCCGGUACUGACGCUGAGGUGCGAAAGCGUGGGGAGCAAACAGG
rnacentral:rRNA from 1 species